rnacentral:rRNA from 1 species
CCUACGGGAGGCAGCAGUGGGGAAUAUUGGGCAAUGGAGGAAACUCUGACCCAGCAACGCCGCGUGAAUGAUGAAGGUCUUCGGAUUGUAAAGUUCUUUUCUAAGGGAAGAAGAAAGUGACGGUACCUUAGGAAUAAGCCUCUGCUAACUACGUGCCAGCAGCCGCGUUAAUACGUAGGAGGCAAGCGUUAGCCGGAUUGACUGGGCGUAAAGGGUGCGUAGGUGGUUUGAUAAGUUAGUAGCGUAACUCCGAGGCUCAACCUCGGCACUACUACCAAGACUGUCGGACUUGAGUGCAGGAGGGGCAACUGGAAUUCCUAGUGUAGCGGUGGAAUGCGUAGAUAUUAGGAGGAACACCAGUGGCGAAGGCGAGUUGCUGGACUGUAACUGACACUGAGGCACGAAAGCGUGGGGAGCAAACAGGAUUAGAUACCCCUGUAGUC